UACGGGGGGGGCAAGCGUUGUUCGGAAUUAUUGGGCGUAAAGCGCACGUAGGCGGUUCGUUAAGUCGGAUGUGAAAGCCCUCGGCUCAACCUUGGAACUGCCUUUGAUACUGGGGAUCUUGAGUCCGGGAGAGGUGAGUGGAACUGCGAGUGUAGAGGUGAAAUUCGUAGAUAUUCGCAAGAACACCAGUGGCGAAGGCGGCUCACUGGCCCGGUACUGACGCUGAGGUGCGAAAGCGUGGGGAGCCAAACAGG
rnacentral:rRNA from 1 species